UAUAAAAAGUAGAAGCACCCGCUUCUCACCUGAUUGGCGCAUAUGCAGUUAGCAGGUAAAUGUCUUUCUUACUUAAGAAUGUACAAGUGUGGGUGUUCGUAUGCCCACACUUUUUUGUUUGG
rfam:Bacillus cereus Rock3-44 chromosome, whole genome shotgun sequence.